rnacentral:rRNA from 1 species
AGUGAACGCUGGCGGUAGGCCUAACACAUGCAGGUCGAACGGCAGCACAGUAAGAGCUUGCUCUUACGGGUGGCGAGUGGCGGACGGGUGAGGAAUACAUCGGAAUCUACUUUUUCGUGGGGGAUAACGUAGGGAAACUUACGCUAAUACCGCAUACGACCUACGGGUGAAAGCAGGGGAUCUUCGGACCUUGCGCGAUUGAAUGAGCCGAUGUCGGAUUAGCUAGUUGGCGGGGUAAAGGCCCACCAAGGCGACGAUCCGUAGCUGGUCUGAGCGGAUGAUCAGCCACACUGGAACUGAGACACGGUCCAGACUCCUACGGGAGGCAGCAGUGGGGAAUAUUGGACAAUGGGCGCAAGCCUGAUCCAGCCAUACCGCGUGGGUGAAGAAGGCCUUCGGGUUGUAAAGCCCUUUUGUUGGGAAAGAAAAGCAGCAGGUUAAUACCCCGCUGUUCUGACGGUACCCAAAGAAUAAGCACCGGCUAACUUCGUG